AAUUUGAAUAAACUUUUGUUUAGCGAAGCAGAUUUCAGAAUAACAUUGCUCACGCGAAGACAACUAUUGAUUCGCUAUAAAAGACGGAAACAUCUAUCAAAACGAUCUGACGAAAAAUGCCACCUUUUGAUCCAGACGAUCCUACAAACGACUUUUUUGAAGAUGUGCAUGUUGGAAGGCGAUUUCCUCUGUGCUGUUCCAAUGUCAUGUUACAGUAUGACUCAAGCACUGGAGAUUUCACGGCCCUGACUGGACGAAUUAUCCGAAAAACGCCACCACGAACACAAACGAACACACCAACUAAAUUAACAGUCAAAGCUAAGGGAGGAUAUGAAUUCCACAUCACGCGAGAUCCAGGAGGAGGAUAUCGGGUCGACGAUUGUUGCACUUGGAUAAAAGUUGAGAAAAUGGACAAGAUUCCAAAGUAUUAAGAUUAUUAUGGAAAGCUUGGAUGUCUGCAAACUGCUCAAAGCAUUCUACAGUGUUAAGUUUAUAAAGAACACAUUUUGAAAGGAGAAACGAGUGUAUGUGUAAUUUUUUUAAAGCGAUUUAUCAUGCGUCCUUCCCAUGACCGAGUUUUACUGGCUAACAGACCUAAAAUAUACCAUCUACUUGUGCGUAAAAUGGCCCGUGUAAAUGCUCGAGCAAGUUUCGCGCGCGCAUAUAGAAGCGCUCGGGUCAAACUGCGUUCGAACAUUUGACAGGCGAGCCAUCAGCUUUUACGCGCACAACUUUCGGCACCUCUGCAUUAGCUUUUAGCUUUGCGCGAACUACAACACAUUCCGGCGACAGCGACCAAAAAAGGGGCAACGAAUCAGCGAGGACUAGAGAGCUAUCUUUCAAAACAUGACGAAGUUGCGGACAUAAAUGCUCAUCUCCAUGUCCAGUGAUCAAAAUAACACCUCUUUGAAUCUUCAGUCCCUCCUCUUUGCUUUGCACGGAAACUAAUUGUAGUUACAGUUGGAGAGAGAUCACAUAAUUAGAGCUGCAGGUCUGUAAAGCAGCCCGAGGGCAAAUAUUUUGACUUAACUAUCCUUCACUGGAUGAACAUGGCAAUCAGCUACACAAUUUCUGCGUUACUAAGAUUCUUAGAUUUCUUUGUUCGCGUUCAAAAGUGACGGGAAUAAAAAUAGCUCUGUCCAUGUAACAGGAAACGGGGCGAGACGAAAAAGACGCCCUACGCGCGCGAAAUUGUUGCGGUUAUUAGUCGACGUGGGUAACCACCCAAUAUCAACAAAAAUCUGUUUACAAAAGAUAUUUCUGGGCGCUUUUGUCUGCGCAAACACGUCAUUGGCGCCGAUAAACCUAAUAGGUGGGAGCGCUUGGAAUCCACGUCAUAUGCAACUUAGAAAUACCACUUAUCCAUAUCGCGAGAGAAGUCUUAGAACUGAACAUGGACGAUCCGCAGAACAAUUUUGUUGAAAUGAUCAGAAUUUGGGAGCACCAUCUUAGUGUCCAUCCUGUGGCAAUCAUAAUUUAUGACUCAACCGGAGCAAUUGAAGUCCAGUUAGGACGAAAGAUUUCGGGAAAUAGGGAUCAAUUCAAGGUCGUAACAUCUGACGCGGCAAUCGUCGAAAUUCAGCGAAAGAGUAAAACAGGUUACGAGAUUAUCAAAGGAGGACACGUUCUCACAAAGAAAAGAAUAUAUUAUGAGUGAGCUUCGACACCACGUUGACGAGGUUGACCACGAAAGGAAGACACCUUUGCAAAAGGAUUCAAUGAUGAUGUGACUGAUCGCUAAAUAAAAUUAGUGAAAUAUCAACUUUUUGAAAUUGUUUUGUGUGAAUGACUCGUCAAUUGGUGCGCGCAAAGUAUAGUGUAAUUCACAGCCUUUUGGACAUGACAAAACUUAAAAUGAAACACGAAUCUCGUGUGGUGAAAGAUGUUAUGCAAUGUGCCAAGCGUCUAGAAACAUCGAUUGAAACCCACGAGGUGCUAGUGAUCCGAAUCUAUUUUUCAUCUACCUCUACCCUCCCAUUUAUAAUUGCACUAACCAUCUUCAAUAUGCGACAAGCAAAGCCAAAGGGCAAAUACUUCAACUUUUUGAGAAAAAAGUAUACAGGACUGCUAAGUUCGACAAACCAUGCAACCGACGAUGACGCAAAGCUUCGAUUCUAUUUGACAGGUUCAAAAGAAAGAAAUCACUAACAAGCGUUUGCACGCAACCGCGCGCGUAUGGGGGACGCGUUUUCACGCGCACGCGUGUGAGAGAACGUGCUGGUUGACAGAGAGGACUAAAAUUAGAUUAUUCUGGUGCUGCCGUCAUUAAGGGUUUACGGCUCAAGUAGGGUUCAUGAUUGAACAAGGAACAAAGAAUGGCAACAAGACUUUUAAGAUCAUCUCGACUAAAGGACAAAUAAACACGAUUCAACGACAACCAGGAAAAGACGAAGGCAAGUACACAAUUGCAGAUGGAAGCGGCAAGGUCACCACGUCAAGAACUUACUUGCCAGCUAGUUAAAACCAAGAUUGGUGACGACUUAAACAAGAAUCAGGAAUUACAGAAUGCCUCAUGACAAAAUUAAUAGUAGUUGUAUGUAAAAACAUUGCUGAUCUUGAUAAUAAACUGAAUCUGUUAAAUUCAA